rnacentral:rRNA from 1 species
UACGAGCGGCCCAAACGUUAUUCGGAAUUACUGGGCUUAAAGAGUUCGUAGGCGGCAUUGCAAGUCGGGUGUGAAAGCCCUCGGCUCAACCGAGGAAUUGCGCUCUAAACUGCAGUGCUCGAGGAAGCUAGAGGUGAGCAGAACAGAUGGUGGAGCGGUGAAAUGCGUUGAUAUCAUCUGGAAUACCGGAGGCGAAGGCGGCUCACUGGUCCGAUACUGACGCUGAGGUGCGAAAGCGUGGGGAGCAAACAGG